AGUGAACGCUGGCGGUAGGCCUAACACAUGCAAGUCGAACGGCAGCACAGGAGAGCUUGCUCUCUGGGUGGCGAGUGGCGGACGGGUGAGGAAUACAUCGGAAUCUACUCUGUCGUGGGGAUAACGUAGGGAAACUUACGCUAAUACCGCAUACGACCUACGGGUGAAAGCAGGGGACCUUCGGGCCUUGCGCGAUUGAAUGAGCCGAUGUCGGAUUAGCUAGUUGGCGGGGUAAAGGCCCACCAAGGCGACGAUCCGUAGCUGGUCUGAGAGGAUGAUCAGCCACACUGGAAAUGAGACACGGUCCAGACUCCUACGGGAGGCAGCAGUGGGGAAUAUUGGACAAUGGGCGCAAGCCUGAUCCAACCAUACCGCGUGGGUGAAGAAGGCCUUCGGGUUGUAAAGCCCUUUUGUUGGGAAAGAAAUCCAGCUGGCUAAUACCCGGUUGGGAUGACGGUACCCAAAGAAUAAGCACCGGCUAACUUCGUGCCAGCAGCCGCGGUAA
rnacentral:rRNA from 1 species